CACAGCGGUAUGUGAGGAAUAUUAGCUCCCUUGGUUUUUUGUCGUUCCUCGUUGGUUUGUGAUGGUUGUUUAGUGCAGCUGCGGGGAGCUGGGGCCGUGGAGCUGUGCGGCCGAAUGGAAAAGGGUUUUGUACAGUUCGUGUUGAUGGUAGCCGGGAGAGUUUUUACAGGCUGGUGAUGAAAUGAACCUCAGUAGAGCGCCGAGCUGCUCACGCUUUCCACAAACAUCCCUCAGAUCAUGGACGACGGAAAAAUACAGAGUCGACAGAGUUCUGUGCUCUGUGUUUAAGUUCAUGUUCCUGCAGAGAUGAUGGUGUUUUGCUUGUAAAACGCCUUUUUUACUUCCGUUUCCCACCUUUUGCAGUCAGCACUCCGGUGUCAACUGUGCUUGCAAUUGGACCAGAACAUCUUUAUCUGCAUGGCAACCAGUCCUCCCACCAACCACAAGUUAAUGUGCUCAUGACCUCCUAUAUACAGUAACCUCACAGGCUAAUUGCAAGAGGUGGGGAAGUGAGGUAAUUGUUGGGAAACAGAGGUCACCUGUAGGAACAUUCAAGUGGCUUUUUGUUACAGGCAGGGAGCCACAGCAACAUGGCAAGUCCAUCUAAGAAAGCUAGAGUGGACACUCCAGCUCCAGGAGAACUGCAGGGUUUCGUCCACAAUGUAAGCCCUGAAAAAAUCUCAGCUAAGAACAAGUAUUUCAGUUUCAUUUUACAAGUGAGCCGGCAUCAAUACCACCGUGGGGUGGUCUUCACUGCUGAUAAGCACAGGGAGUUUGAGCGUGCGGCGCAGACAUGUACACCUGUUCGGCUGAGGAACGUCAGGAAAACUUUAGGGAAGUCAUUUAAAUCAAUAGCCUAAGUAAAGCUUGAAGUAAGUUUUAUAAUUUCAGAAGUACAAGUUUGCACCAAUGUUGAUUAUUUUAUAAGGUUUUGGGGAAGAGUUCGAUGUUCAGUUACAUCAAGGCUCAUCACUUGAAGUUGGAGACGUAGAGUUCGGGAUGAAGCCUCCGCCAGACAGUCGAGUUCUGAAGGUUAAAAAUAUAUUAGAUCUUCAUGGUCAAACAAAAAUCAGGAAAGUAGCAGCGAAGGUUAUUUUUCUGCAGACCAGCUCUGAGGUGGUGAGUGCCUUCGGGGAUGCUGGAUUGCAGAUGACGCAGGGAAAAUCCGGCUACUUUUAUAUGACGCUGUGAUUCCUCGGGUUAGUGUGGACCAAUCAUAUGAAUUCCGCUACAUCUCCACCUGCAGCCAGGGUGGACUACACGACAACAACACGCUCAACCACUGUACAAGAAAUUCCUGCCAUUGAGGUACCAGAAGCAUUUUCCUACUGUGAAGCACCAGCUGAAGUAAUCUUCAGGAGCAAAGGCUUGGUGAGUGGAAUUGAGCUGCGGGAGAGACGAACCUACAGUCACUGCCGUCAAACGCAAACUGCGUUUGAUCGCAAAUCGUUAAACCACAGGUGCCAGUCGUGUCGCCUACUACAGAAGACAGCAUCGUUUUCUGCAAAGGUUAGCGGCACUGUGGUACUUACUUGUGGAAGUGCAGAUGUUCAUCUUACUCUCACAAUGACUGUGCUGAGGGAAUUUCUAGAGUGUAACCAGCUGUGUCAUCUCCUCCAAGAUGUAGAAAGCAUUGAGGAGUAUCUCCUCAAUACUCCACAGUUGUUCAUUGAACAUAAUGAGGCAAACACGGUGACUUCAAUGACAUUGGGCACAGAGGUGGCCAGUCUGAAAUGCUCAGCCAGUCUUCCACUGGAGACGCCCCGAGGCCAACCCUCCACAAAGCGAAUGGAAUGUUGCAAACGUCAGUACUGCUGCAGGUUCUGCUGAAAUCCAGGAGGAAGACCAAGUACAUGAUAUGGCUCAGGCCCUGGAACUGUUGGAACAAAACCCUUAAUUAACCAUAAGGCAUUUGUUGCCAUCAGGUGGUGCUAUGCUGGGUUGGUUUAGCUGUCUUGAUGCUUUUUAAGGGCCAUUUGAGUUUCAAUAUUGAUGCUUUGUGUAACUUGUAGAAAUGUAAAUGUUGUAUUGCAAUUAUUUGUUUACUGUUUAGUGAUUAUAUUAACUUUUAAUGAUGUUAAAUGAUGCUUUUUAUUUCAGACGAUUUCUGUUUCUAUUUAUCCUACCAAUAUGAAGAUGGUGUGUUAUGUUCAUGAAAAUGUUUACGCAGUUCAUGUGUGUUACUUGCAUGUUUACUUGUUUUUUUUUCUUGUUAUUAAUAAAAUGUUUUAUAAUGUU